UUCUGGUUGAUCCUGCCGGAGGCUACCGCUAUUGGAGUUCGAUUAAGCCAUGCGAGUCGAGAGUCUUAGGGACUCGGCGUACCGCUCAGUAACACGUGGGUAACCUGCCCUAUGCUGGGGAAUAACCUCGGGAAACUGAGAAUAAUACCCCAUAGUUCACCACGCCUGGAACGGUGGGUGGAUGAAAGCUCCGGCGGCAUAGGAUGGGCCUGCGACGUAUCAGGUUGUAGGGGGUGUAACGUACCCUCUAGCCAUCAACGCGUACGGGUGUUGGGAGACAUAGCCCGGAGAUGGAUUCUGAGACACGAAUCCAGACCCUACGGGGUGCAGCAGGCGCGAAAACUUGGCAAUGCGAGCAAUCGUGACCAGGGAACUCCAAGUGGCUGGGGUAAUACCCAGUUUUUUCUUGACUCUUCAAAGGUCUUGGAAUAAGGGGUGGGUAAGGACGGUGCCAGCCGCCGCGGUAAUACCGGCGCCUCAAGUGGUAGUCGCUUUUAUUGGGCCUAAAACGUCCGUAGCCGGUCUGGUGCAUUCGUGGGUAAAUCAACCCGCUCAACGGGUUGAAUUCUGCGAGCACGGCCAGACUUGGGACCGGGAGAGGUGUGGGGUACUCUCAGGGUAGGGGUAAAAUCCUGUCAUCCUGAGAGGACCACCUGUUGCGAAGGCGCCACACUAGAACGGAUUCGACGGUCAGGGACGAAACCUAGGGGCACGAACCGGAUUAGAUACCCGGGUAGUCCUAGGUGUAAACGCUGUGGACUUGAUGUUGGGGGUGCUCCGAGCACUCUCAGUGUCGAAGCGAAGGUGAUAAGUCCACUGCCUGGGGAGUACGGUCGCAAGGCUGAAACUUAAAGGAAUUGGCGGGGGAGCACUGCAACCUGAGGAUUGUGCGGUUUAAUUGGAUUCAA
rnacentral:rRNA from 1 species